rnacentral:lncRNA from 1 species
GGAUUCAGGAUGAGAUGCAGCUGGGACAGGACACAGCUGUGUUGUGAUGCAGGAAGAUGAGACAUAGGAUGGGAUGCAGCUGGGAUGUGGGCAGGAUGGGAUGAGUUGUCACUCUCUGGCUGUGGCUCUGCCGGAGCUGCUGGGUGCUGGCCGUGCCAUCGCAGCUCGGUGCCAGCCCAGCCCUUGUUCUGCCAGCUGCAGCAGCGCUUCCCCAGCCUCCCUGUGGAGCUGCACCUCUGGGCCCGCCGGCAGCCCCUGCUCUCCUGCCACUCUGACGCCCUGCAUGGGGCCCUCUUCGGCUCUGCUGAGGCCUUCGUGGUGCUGCCCAACGCCACCCGUGUCCCCGCUUUUCUGCUGAACAUUGACGCCAAUGUGACAGGGAAGCCAACCAUUGCUGGGAACAGGCUGGGGGGCACAGUGGGACUGAAGAGGUGAGUCCCCAGCCCUGUGCUGUGUCCAGUUUCCCUGAGAUGUCCCCAGGAAGCUGUCCCCAUACUCCACCUCCGGCCAUUUCCAUCCCUGGGUCCAUAUCAUCCUCUCAGACCCCAUCCUGCCCCUAGCUCUCACCCGUGCCCACUGCCCUGGUGCUCAAACUACGUCCCAGUCCUCAGCCCAUCCCUGGGGACGGCCCUGUCCCCAUGCCCAGCACUGACCCUACUCUCUCCCCUCAGCCUCAGCGUGGUGCAGGUGACAUCGCAUGUGGGCCCGCUGCAGGUGGAGAAGCUGGAGAACAUGCUGAAGUUUGGGCUGUGGCUGUUCGGGGUGCCCUGGGCCAACAAGCGGCUCCGUCCCGGCAUCCCACUGCCCACGCCGCGUGGCAUCACCCUGCUGCACCCACGCCUGUCACUGCACGAGGUGGGUGUCACCCCCAUCCCCUCACCCCUGUCCCUGUGCCACCAUGCUCUUCUCUUACCCCACUCUCCACGCAGGGCUUCAUGCUCAUCGCCACGGACCUGCAAUAUGAACCCUGAGACCGGCGUCUGCAUGGGGAGAUGCUGGCCCUGUGUGCUGCAUUGCAUCCCCAUCCCUGUCCCCAUCCCACUGGCACCUGGUGCCCUCGAGUGGGGGGGGUCCCGCACCCCCUCGGCUGGGAUUAAAGCUGGCAGCGUGGCUCAGCUCGGGUGCAUGUGCCUUGUCCCCAUGAGGUCCCCCUGCCAGCCCCGUACUGGGACACCAGUGGGGGACGGCUGCCCUCACGCGUGGAGGGGGUAGGGGGGGUGGUCUCUGUGCCCACCGGGCCCUUCUGCACCCGCUGCUCCCUCGGGGACGGGGCGGUGCUCGGGGGGUCCCGCAGCCCUCUCGUGUGGCCGUGACGCCGCGCAGCUCCCGGUUCGCCCACGCGAGGGAGCCCGUGCCCGUGGCUCCGGGAGCU